rnacentral:rRNA from 1 species
GGGAAAGGCGAAAAGAACCCCGGCGAGGGGAGUGAAAAAGAACCUGAAACCGUGUACGUACAAGCAGUAGGAGCCUCUUUAUGGGGUGACUGCGUACCUUUUGUAUAAUGGGUCAGCGACUUAUAUUCUGUAGCAAGGUUAACCGUAUAGGGGAGCCGUAGGGAAACCGAGUCUUAACUGGGCGAAUGAGUUGCAGGGUAUAGACCCGAAACCCGGUGAUCUAUCCAUGGGCAGGUUGAAGGUUGGGUAACACUAACUGGAGGACCGAACCGACUAAUGUUGAAAAAUUAGCGGAUGACUUGUGGAUGGGGGUGAAAGGCCAAUCAAACCGGGAGAUAGCUGGUUCUCCCCGAAAGCUAUUUAGGUAGCGCCUCGUGAAUUCAUCUUCGGGGGUAGAGCACUGUUUCGACUAGGGGGUCAUCCCGACUUACCAACUCGAUGCAAACUGCGAAUACCGAAGAAUGUUAUCACGGGAGACACACGGCGGGUGCUAACGUCCGUCGUGAAGAGGGAAACAACCCAGACCGCCAGCUAAGGUCCCAAAGUCAUGGUUAAGUGGGAAACGAAGUGGGAAGGCUCAGACAGCCAGGAUGUUGGCUUAGAAGCAGCCAUCAUUUAAAGAAAGCGUAAUAGCUCACUGGUCGAGUCGGCCCGCGCGGAAGAUGUAACGGGGCUAAACCAUGCACCGAAGCUGCGGCAGCGA